rnacentral:rRNA from 1 species
GAUGAACGCUGGCGGCGUGCCUAAUACAUGCCAGUCGAGCGAACGGACGAGAAGCUUGCUUUUCUGAUGUUAGCGGCGGACGGGUGAGUAACACGUGGAUAACCUACCUAUAAGACUGGGAUAACUUCGGGAAACCGGAGCUAAUACCGGAUAAUAUUUUGAACCGCAUGGUUCAAAAGUGAAAGACGGUCUUGCUGUCACUUAUAGAUGGAUCCGCGCUGCAUUAGCUAGUUGGUAAGGUAACGGCUUACCAAGGCAACGAUGCAUAGCCGACCUGAGAGAGCGACAGGCCACGCGAGGAGAGAGAACCGGACCAGACUCAGCAGGGAGGAGGCAGUGGGGAAUGUUGAAAAAGGGGGGAAAGCCUGAAGCCGCAAUGAGGAGUGAAUGAAGUAGGUCUUAGGGGUGGAAAGCACUGUUGUCAGGAAAGAAAACCGUGGCCCGAAGAAGGACGGGAGAUGACGGUACCGGAUGAGUAAGCGCCGGCUAACUACGUG